rnacentral:rRNA from 1 species
CGCACCGACCUAACUGCAGUGGAUACGGGGCGACUAGAUUGUGGUAGAGGGUAGCGGAAUUCCUGGUGUAGCAGUGAAAUGCGUACAGAUCAGGAGGAACAUCCAUGGCGAAGGCAGCUACCUGGACCAACACUGACACUGAGGCACGAAAGCGUGGGGAGCAAACAGGAUUAGAUACCCUGGUAGUCCACGCCCUAAACGAUGCGAACUGGAUGUUGGGUGCAAUUUGGCACGCAGUAUCGAAGCUAACGCGUUUAGUUCGCCGCCUGGGGAAUACGGUCGCAAGACUGAAACUCAAAGGAAUUGACGGGGGCCCGCACAAGCGGUGGAGUUGUGGUUUAAUUCGAUGAACGCGAAAAACCUUAGCUGGCCUGAAAAUGUCCAAAAUUU